CGGCCAAAACGUGGCCGGCUGUCGCGCGCGAGAGAGAGGAGAGAGAGAGACCCGCGGGAGAGAGAGAGAGAGAGAGAGAGAGAGAGAGAGAAAACCAGAUUUUUAUAAAAAUCCUAUUUUGAAAUAUUUACGAUUGUGCCACUGGAUUUCUUUUGACUAUAUCUCUCUCGUUACAACUCCGAUUCGAGCCCACUACGUGUCUAUGAACUCGUCUCAGUACGAC
rnacentral:lncRNA from 1 species